GUGCUUCCUUUGGCACCACAUACACUAAAAUUAGAAUAAUACAGAGAAGAUUAGCAUGGCCCCUGAGCAAGGAUGACAUGUAAAUUUGGAAGUGUUGUAUAUUUUU
ensembl:snRNA U6 U6 spliceosomal RNA